rnacentral:rRNA from 1 species
AGAUUGAACGCUGGCGGCAUGCUUUACACAUGCAAGUCGAACGGUAACAGGCCGCAAGGUGCUGACGAGUGGCGAACGGGUGAGUAAUGUAUCGGAACGUGCCCAGUCGUGGGGGAUAACGCAGCGAAAGCUGCGCUAAUACCGCAUACGAUCUAUGGAUGAAAGCGGGGGACCGUAAGGCCUCGCGCGAUUGGAGCGGCCGAUAUCAGAUUAGGUAGUUGGUGGGGUAAAGGCUCACCAAGCCAACGAUCUGUAGCUGGUCUGAGAGGACGACCAGCCACACUGGGACUGAGACACGGCCCAGACUCCUACGGGAGGCAGCAGUGGGGAAUUUUGGACAAUGGGCGCAAGCCUGGUCCAGCAAUGCCGCGUGCAGGAAGAAGGCCUUACGGUUGUAAACUGCUUUUGUACGGAACGAACGGUCCUGGUUAAUACCUGGGCUAAUGACGGUACCGUAAGAAUAAGCACCGGCUAACUACGUGCCAGCAGCCG